AUCACAAUGCAUUCCCAUAUCCCCCACCAUUUUCUCAACCCUUGUAAGAUGAACAUUCUCCUCAACCUCUAUCUUAUUAACAUCUUCAGCAGGAUCGAUAGACUCUUCAACACCUUCAGCAAGGGAUAAGGGCAUCAAUGGUGGCCCUAGUUGAGGCACCACUUCAAGUGGUAUAGACUCAUCAGCUUCAACCAAGGCAAGCGAAGGGUCAAAGAACACCUCAUCAUCAGAGUUCGGAUUGUCUACAAUAUCACCAUGAUGCAUUCCUGGAGGGUUUACCGACGCCUCUGGAUCAACAACCAAGUCCAUAUCCAAAGGAUUAAAACAAGUUCUCUCUCUGCUACUCUAACCUUUU
rnacentral:lncRNA from 1 species